GAUGAACGCUGGCGGCGUGCCUAAUACAUGCAAGUCGAGCGAACAGACGAGGAGCUUGCUCCUCUGACGUUAGCGGCGGACGGGUGAGUAACACGUGGAUAACCUACCUAUAAGACUGGGAUAACUUCGGGAAACCGGAGCUAAUACCGGAUAAUAUAUUGAACCGCAUGGUUCAAUAGUGAAAGACGGUUUUGCCGUCACUUAUAGAUGGAUCCGCGCCGCAUUAGCUAGUUGGUAAGGUAACGGCUUACCAAGGCAACGAUGCGUAGCCGACCUGAGAGGGUGAUCGGCCACACUGGAACUGAGACACGGUCCAGACUCCUACGGGAGGCAGCAGUAGGGAAUCCUCCGCAAUGGGCGAAAGCCUGACGGAGCAACGCCGCGUGAGUGAUGAAGGUCUUCGGAUCGUAAAACUCUGUUAUUAGGGAAGAACAAAUGUGUAAGUAACUAUGCACGUCUUGACGGUACCUAAUCAGAAAGCCACGGCUAACUACGUG
rnacentral:rRNA from 1 species